AUAUUAUCGACAGCAACUUUGUGCUUUUUGGUUUCAGUUUCUUCCAUGUUAGUUUUGUUUUUGCAACGUAUGGCAAACACAUGGAUUAAUUGCUCUGAAUCAGUUUCACACUACAACUAAUUAAAUGGCUGAGCAUUCAGACUUCAAAGCAUUCAUCAAGUCUCUUUAAUGUUUUUGCCCAGCAAUUCGCAGGCGGUUGUGGUCCCAAACCUCUGCCAAUACUGGAUGUCAACUGCACUAUUCUGAAACAUCUUAAAUUUGCAUCCAACUUCUCAAGUAAUGAUCACUGUAAGGGUUGAAUUUUAGGGUUGAUCCUCUCGCAUCUCUAGUUUUACUUUGAUCCAAAUCAGUUGACGAGUUUAACUUCUAACAUUUUUCAGGUGGUUUGGUUUCUUUUCAGACAAAGAAAUCUCCAAUGAACUAGAACCGUCACUGCAAACCAGGUGAGAACGCUCAGUCUGCUGAGUCCAGGAUGAGUCCAGGGCCUGAGUACUGAAUGUAAAUACAGGAAGCAGAUGCGGUUCUCUGAGCCAUUAGAAAACACAUCAUCCAUCAUAACAUUAGUGAGUAUUAUUUUAGGCCUAAUUAUCUGAGCAGUAUAAUGGAAUAUUUUUGAAAAAAAAAGACUCCAAAGUUUCACAGCUGCUAAAUGAUAAGUAUUGCUUAUUUGUUUGUUUACUGUAAACUUGCCUAUGGAAAGGCAUUUGGCUGAAGCUUGCAGCAUAAACCUGGCAGCCUGCUGGAUCGAGGUCUGAUCACUUUCACACCAUAAACAAUUCCCCCCACCCUCCAACUCCCAUUCUCACCCCACCCACUCGUGUGCAGUUCACAUCCGAGGGGGAAUCGAACUGGUUUGUUUUAAAUGAGGUAAACACCUCAGGUGCGAAAACACCCCAAGACUUUGUGGCGUGUGGGUGUUGAUUAACAUUAGAGAUGUUUUUAAUUACUGACAUAUUUCCUGCCUUACAUCUGGUCCUUUGAGGCUUUAAAUGCCCAUCAAAAACCCUGCUGAUGUCUGACGCUCACUUAUAAUUAGAUAAACACUUUUUUUCUGUGUUAGUCUCGGUUAAUCUGUGCUGAACCUAAUGGGUUUUAAAGGGAACUGUGAGUGUGCACUCAAAGAUUAUUUUAAUCUGUUUCGAUAUAGCUCCGCCACCUCAAUCAGGCUCUGAAUCUGUGUAAAAUGAGGACACUGAGAAGGUUUGGUUAAACCCAGAUUUUUUGUGAUUUUGGAUUAUUGAGUCAUUAAAUGGGUCUUGGGUCAGAUUUACAGUGAAUGUUUUGGGAAAACAUUUGGCCUAAGGAGGUUUAGUCUCUCAUUCCAGCUGGAAAAACAAGCCAAAGCAAUUAAAGCUUUGAAAGUUGACGUUUUCCAAAUAUGAAAUUUUUGCUGGAGUGGAACAUUUUUCUGCUUUUUGGUAAAAUAUUUACAGUGAAGUGGUAAACAUUUUGUCUGCUGUCAUAAUCAUUCUCUCAGACAGCAUGGUCUUAAAGGAUUUGAGAUUCUCCUGCUUUUAAAAAAUUGUCCAUGCUGUUGCUGACAAUUCUGUCUAAUUCCUGGAAAUAACUUUUUAGCAAGUAUAUUUUAAAAUACAGUUUGUUUUUUUUCACUGAAUUGAGUUACAAAGUGUCAGUUUAUAUUGGUGGAAAAAACUGAGUUUUGCAACAACGUUUCAACUAAAGAUGAGCCUAAAAUUGAGUGAGUUUGGGUCAUUAAAUCUGCUCCUAAUGUCUAGUUAUUACAGGUUUUUUUUGUUUGCCAGUGAGUCAGGAGGACAACAGAAGGAGCAGAGUGUAUUGAAGAUGUGCUACCAGGUUUUUUAGAAUGACCAAUUCAUGCCGAGCGCAUGAGAACAGGUCACUCAGAGAGUGAGUAGAUAAAGAACUGUAUUAUCCAGAGGAUCUCCCACCUGAUUUGUGGAUCUCUGCAACUCUUCCAGAGUUACAAGGGGCCUCUUGGCUGCUUCUUGGAUUAAGGCUCCUCUGCCAAUUCACUUUAACAGCUGUAGUUUUGAGAGGUUUGCCGAUAAUGAGUUCAACAGUGCUAAAGGCAACUUGUUUUACUUAAGGGCAACAAAGUAAAAGACUUUUAAUACAAAUUAAUGCAACACUUUUCAGAGUUUUGUUUUCGAAAUAAACUAAACACAUAAAUUAUUAUUCACAACUGAGCACUAUUUUGAUUUAUACAUUCAAAUUUCUGGUGACAAAAACAAAUAAACUUCAAGUGUUAUAAAAAUUUUAGCAAGGAACUUAAGACGUCAUGUUUACUUAGCAAGCUUUAAUUAUCAGUCUAGUAGCUGGCUUUCAGUCUACUGCUUUUCUCAAAGUUAAUGGUUAAUUUAUUGUCUUCAACUUUUUCAAGUACAAACCCUGAAAAGUUUUACUUUGAAAAGUACAUCAAAUAAAGGAAUUGGAGUGCACAUAUCUUUCUAACACUUCUGUGAAAAGUACAUCAAAAGACCCUGCCUGGGAUGCUGGAAAAGCAAUGUUAACAGUAAUAACUUUAAAACAUUUUUUAGCUCAGUUUGAAAUUUGUAAAAAUCCUUUCAUUUCCUCUAUUCUGAACUGACCGGUGUUGAUGCAAUGUUUCACUCCAACAGCUCCUUUUUGCUUUUCCUCCAGUCGCUCCAAGAGCCAGUCAAAGUGCCAGAGGGGAGUGUGAUGUGAUGACAAAUGGUUAAAUCCAACAGCUGAAUUAUUGACUGGAACCAAAAUGUGAAGACAAAAUUCCUGUGGGACAGGAGUUGAGUGGAAGCUGCUCUCCACUCUAAUUGCUCCCCGCCCACUAACUCGUUUCUUUCUUGGCAGCCCCGUGUUGAGAGUUACGGAGCGCUGAUGAACUCCACAACACACUUUAAGUGUUCCAAUAAUUAAAGCCCAAAGAGAUUGUCAAGUGACGGUCUGCCCUCUCACCUGUGGAGACAGCUGGGGCCAGUGCAGACUUUGUGACUCUGGAGAGAAUAUGCAAAUGUGCAGAGAUGGAGUUUAUCAUCCAGAACUGCUCUGCUCAAUGAUGGCACAAUAAGUGACAGCAGCUGGAGUUAGGAAGGAAGAAUUUGCAAAGUAUUUUUCAAAUGAAAGUGAGAAUAAUGAGACCUGUGUCUCUGGUGGAUCUCUGCUCCAAAAUCACAAUUGGAACAAGUCCGACAAGCUGGAUGGCCUUUUGGCUGAUGGCAUUGCCUCAGGUCUGUUAUUUUAUAGGCAUCUUCAGAGAAUAAGUCUCAGUUGUUUAUUAUUUAUUUAAAUAUCUAUUCUAAAGAUCUUAAAAUACUGAUAUAAAACGUGAGUCACUAGAUAUUUGUACAUUUUUUCUUGUCUCUGAUUUAAUAUGCUUGAUGUUUUUCUUUUUGUUUUUCAUAUUCCAUAACAAAUAGUUUGUUGCUAAUGAUCAUCUGCCAAGAGGUAAGAAGAAAUAAGCUUUUAUGUUUCGUCAAACUUUUAGUAUCAAAGCUGCUGAUUUUUGGGGGUUUUUUUGCCAUCGGAGCUGUGCCAUCAUUGGAGAGGACAGGUUUUAAUUUAGUUAAUCUACAGUACAUUCAUUUUUCAUAGCCCACCACCGACACAGCUCCAUUAUGAACAUGUUUUUGUUUAGGUACCUUUUUUAUUUUACAGUUUUAAAAUAUGUCUUUCUUUAUAUAAUCCAACUAUUAGCACAUUGACUAGAGCGUGUGCCAACUCUUGUUGAGAUCUGUUCUAUUCUCCUCUCUUCUCUUUGCUCAUAUAACCUGUACACUGUUGAGGUUGAAUUCUCUACUCACCUGCUUUCAUUUUCAUAUUUUAAGGCCACUAUCAUCAGAAAGAAAAAUGAGUCACUGAUGAUUUUGACUGACAGGUGGUUAAUUAAGUCUGUGUUUGCAAUUGUAAUUGCUUUUGAAGAUCUACAAAGUCAAAGUCUGAAAUCCUGACGCUGAAAAGUCUUUAAUCAUGUACACAACAUAUGUGAUGCUAUUUUUGGUGUCUUACCUACGUAUAUGUAUGGUCUCAGAAAAAUGUUAGAAGCAACAGAUUGCAGUAAGCACUGGCAUCAUUUCUUUGAUCAACUCUGCUUAAUUCUUAUUUCUUGGACUCCGGCUGUGCAUCCGUUCUGAAAAAAGUAAUAAAUGUGCCUCUCAAAAGAAU